GCCAUGCCUGGUGAGUCACUUCCCAUGUUUGAGCCUCACCUUCACAGUUUUCUCACUUGCAAAAUGGGUUCAUAACAGCAAUCAUAUGGUGUCUUUGUGAAAAUUAAGUACUAUGAUAUUUGUUCAGUACAGAGUAUGCUGCUGAGAGUAUGUUUAUGCAAUAAAAAGAAGCCAUGAUGAUGUUUGCAUUUGGUAUUUGAAGAUCAGUUUCAAAUGUUGGCCCCACCAUCUGCUAGCUGAGCAAUCUUGAACAAGGAGAUUUUGCUUCUCUGAAUCUCAGCCUCCUCAUCUGUCAAACGGGAAUGAGAACACUACCACCUCCCCCAAAGGACCGUCUGGAAAACCUAAGACGCACAUCUACUUGGACACAACUAACACCAUCCAUUCCACCCACCUCGCAGCAGGACCCCUCCUGGUGGCAGAAGAUGAGCCGCCUGAGGGCACAGGUAGUUUUAGGGGUUGGGGUCUCUGCCAGAUGGGCAGAGGAGCCUUCCUAUGGGAUUU
rnacentral:lncRNA from 1 species